rnacentral:rRNA from 1 species
AGAGUUUGAUUCUGGCUCAGGACGAACGCUGGCGGCGUGCUUAACACAUGCAAGUCGAGCGGUAAGGCCCUUCGGGGUACACGAGCGGCGAACGGGUGAGUAACACGUGGGUGAUCUGCCUUGCACUUCGGGAUAAGCCUGGGAAACCGGGUCUAAUACCGGAUAUGACCACGAGAUGCAUGACUUGUGGUGGAAAGAUUUAUCGGUGCGAGAUGGGCCCGCGGCCUAUCAGCUUGUUGGUGAGGUAACGGCUCACCAAGGCGACGACGGGUAGCCGACCUGAGAGGGUGACCGGCCACACUGGGACUGAGACACGGCCCAGACUCCUACGGGAGGCAGCAGUGGGGAAUAUUGCACAAUGGGCGAAAGCCUGAUGCAGCGACGCCGCGUGCGGGAUGACGGCCUUCGGGUUGUAAACCGCUUUUGACAGGGACGAAGCGCAAGUGACUGUACCUGUAGAAUAAGGACCGGCCAACUACGUGUCAGCAGCCGCGGUAA